rnacentral:misc_RNA from 1 species
AACGCACCUUGCGCUCCUUGGUAUUCCUCGGAGCAUGCCUGUUUGAGUAUCAUGAAAUCCUCAAAGUAAAUCUUUUGUUAACUCAAUUGGUUCCACUUUGGUAUUGGAGGUCUUGCGGCUUCACACCUGCUCCUCUUUGUUCAUUAGCUGGAUCUCGGUGUUAUGCUUGGUUCCACUCGGCGUGAUAAGUUAUCUAUCGCUGAGGACACUGUAAAAAGUGGCCAAGGUAAAUGCAGAUGAACCGCUUCUAAUAGUCCAUUGACUUGGACAAAUAUUUUUAUGAUCUGAUCUCAAAUCAGGCAGGACUACCCGCUGAACUUAA